rnacentral:rRNA from 5 species
UGGACCUCAGAUCAGGCAAGAUUACCCGCUGAG